UACCCUUAGGACGUGGAUACCCCCGAGAAAUUGGGGUUAGUCCGCGAUAGGUGUAAUGUCCUGGAAUGGUAUUACGCCUAAAGGUGUAUCAUACAUGUUUGAUAUACGCCUAAGGAUGGGGCUGCGGCCGAUCAGGCUGUUGGUGAGGUAAUGGCUCACCAAACCUUUGACCGGUACGGGCCAUGAGAGUGGUAGCCCGGAGAUGGACACUGAGACAAGGGUCCAGGCCCUAAGGGGCGCAGCAACCGCGAAACCUCCACAAUGCACUCACGUGCGAUGGGGCUAUCUCGAGUGCCACCUGAUGAAGGUGGCUUUUCCUAGGUCUUCAAAGCCUUGGGAAUAAGAGGGGGGCAAGACUGGUGUCAGCCGCCGCGGUAACACCAGCCCCUCGAGUGGUGGGGAUGAUUAUUUGGCCUAAAGCGUCCGUAGCCGGCCGAGCAAGUCUUCCGUUAAAUCCAGCGUCUCAAGCGUUGGACUGCGGGAGAUACUACACGGCUAGAGAGUGGGAGAGGUCAGCGGUAUUCUGGGGGUAGGGGCGAAAUCCUUUGAUCCCCGGAGGACCACCAGUGGCGAAGGCUGCUGACUAGAACACGUCUGACGGUCAGGGACGAAAGCUGGGGUAGCGAACCGGAUUAGAUACCCGGGUAGUCCCAGCCGUAAACGAUGCAUGCUAGGUGUUGGGUUGGCCACGAGCCACCCCAGUGCCGCAGGGAAGCCGUUAAGCAUGCCGCCUGGGAAGUACGAUCGCAAGAUUGAAACUUAAAGGAAUUGGCGGGGGAGCACCACCAGGCGUGAAGCCUGCGGUUUAAUUGGAUUCAACGCCGGA
rnacentral:rRNA from 1 species